CAGGGCCGGCUGACGGGGCGCCCGGAGAUCCUUCCGGGGCCGGAAGGCGGGGCUGUGGCGCUCUGGGGCGGCGCUUGGUGCCCGGUUCCCUUCCCAGGGAUGUUACAGCGGUACUCAGCUACUGUUAACGGGGAGUCACUCUGAGCACGCCGUAUUAACGAGGGUUACCCCUCAGCACCCUUGUUAACCGGGCGUCCCCUUCAGCGCCCCCUGUUCAUGAGAACUCCCCAUCAGCACCCCGGUUAACGGGGACUCCCCCUCAGCACCCUCUGUCAACGAGGUCCCCCUCAGCAUCUCUUAACGAGGGGUCCCCCUCGGCAGCCCCUGUUAACGAAGAAUCCCCCUCAGCCCCCGUUACCGAGUGUCCCACUCAGCCCCUGUUCCGGGGGUGUCCCCUCGCCGCGCGGGGCCGGCCUGAGGCGGGCGGUGCUCGGGAGCAGCGUCCCCUCCCUCAGAGCGGGCGGUUCUGCUUCACCUUAAACCAUAUUUAUUUCAGUAGUUCCAGUGUUGUGUUGGAGUUUCUUUGCCGUGUCCAUUAAGCGUUUUAAGAACAACAACAUGAGUUGGUAGUAUGUCAGGGUUUCAUAAAAACUAAACGUUCUUAGCCGCCUGCUGUAAUAAUGGUAGAAAUAUGACGAAGUCGAGAGAUUAUUUAACACUUUUGACUAAAGGAAACUUUUGUUUCUUAUAUUUAAUGACAGAUAUGCGGCUUUGUAUAUUCCCGUUAUGUUUGUGGGAAUGUUCAGCCCGAAGCUGAGCAUCUGGUUUGUUUUAUUUUUAUAAAAGCUUUGCCCUGCAAAUAGUGGCAGCAUUUUUUUCUCAGGGAGAAUCCAUGCAUGGAAAAUUGGAGGCAUUGAGACAAAACAGCAAAUUUAAAGAACUAUUGAACAUUGUAAAUACAACGUUGACCAAGAUGAAAACAAAAAGAGGGAGGACAGAAAUGGGAAAGUAAUGGCAUUAAGUAGCCUAAAGGAGAAAGAACCCAAACAACAAAGAAGAUGGCUAGUGAGUUCUUCAGCUUGGUGCUGGGAAGGUGAGGACAACAGAGGCCCUGCACCUGCACCCCUGCUAAGGAAAACAAGUAGAAGAGGCGUUUUUAGAGUCAGCAGCAGAAACACAAACCAGCUGGGCUGCCCUUCUCAAGGGUGAGUGCUCUGAGGAGUAGAGCUGGUUGAGCUU